rnacentral:rRNA from 1 species
AUACAGAGGGUGCAAACGUUGUUCGGAAUUACUGGGCAUAAAGCGCACGUAGGCGGCCAAGUAAGUGUGAGGUGAAAUCCCACGGCUCACCCGUGGAACUGCUUUGCAUACUGCUUGGCUCGAGGAAGGUAGGGGAGAGCAGAACUCUUGGAGGAGUGGUGAAAUGCGUAGAUAUCAAGAGGAAUACCAGCGGCGAAGGCGGCUCUCUGGUCCUUUUCUGACGCUGAGGUGCGAAAGCUAGGGUAGCGAACGGGAUUAGAAACCCCAGUAGUCC